rnacentral:misc_RNA from 1 species
AACAUCGCGCACCUGCGGGAACCUGCGGAAGGAUCAUUACCGAGUGUGAACCCCCCCGUAAAAAAGAGGGGUUACCUCCCGUCCUUUGCUGGGAACCCCUUUCCAACUUGGAAGGAGGUUGUUUUCAGACCCUUCUGCUUCGGUGGGGUAACCCACCGGAACAACCUCAAAAAUAUUCUCAAUUCAAAACCGUUCAGUCCGAGAACUUUUUUGAAAAGCGAAAAAACUUUUAACAACGGA